rnacentral:rRNA from 1 species
AGUGAACGCUGGCGGUAGGCCUAACACAUGCAAGUCGAACGGCAGCACAGUAAGAGCUUGCUCUUACGGGUGGCGAGUGGCGGACGGGUGAGGAAUACAUCGGAAUCUACUUUUUCGUGGGGGAUAACGUAGGGAAACUUACGCUAAUACCGCAUACGACCUACGGGUGAAAGCAGGGGAUCUUCGGACCUUGCGCGAUUGUAUGAGCCGAUGUCGGAUUAGCUAGUUGGCGGGGUAAAGGCACACCAAGGCGACGAUGCGUAGCUGGUCUGAGAGGAUGAUCAGCCACACUGGAACUGAGACACGGUCCAGACUCCUACGGGAGGCAGCAGUGGGGAAUAUUGGACAAUGGGCGCAAGCCUGAUCCAGCCAUACCGCGUGGGUGAAGAAGGCCUUCGGGUUGUAAAGCCCUUUUGUUGGGAAAGAAAAGCAGCAGAUUAAUACCCCGCUGUUCUGACGGUACCCAAAGAAUAAGCACCGGCUAACUUCGUG